rnacentral:rRNA from 1 species
GAUGAACGCUGGCGGCGUGCCUAAUACAUGCAAGUCGAGCGAACAGAUAAGGAGCUUGCUCCUUUGACGUUAGCGGCGGACGGGUGAGUAACACGUGGGUAACCUACCUAUAAGACUGGAAUAACUCCGGGAAACCGGGGCUAAUGCCGGAUAACAUGUUGAACCGCAUGGUUCUACAGUGAAAGGCGGCUUUGCUGUCACUUAUAGAUGGACCCGCGCCGUAUUAGCUAGUUGGUGAGGUAACGGCUCACCAAGGCAACGAUACGUAGCCGACCUGAGAGGGUGAUCGGCCACACUGGAACUGAGACACGGUCCAGACUCCUACGGGAGGCAGCAGUAGGGAAUCUUCCGCAAUGGGCGAAAGCCUGACGGAGCAACGCCGCGUGAGUGAUGAAGGUCUUCGGAUCGUAAAACUCUGUUAUUUGGGAAGAACAAAUGCGUAAGUAACUGUGCGCGUCUUGACGGUACCUAAUCAGAAAGCCACGGCUAACUACGUG